rnacentral:rRNA from 1 species
UACGAAGGGGGCUAGCGUUGUUCGGAUUUACUGGGCGUAAAGCGCACGUAGGCGGAUUGUUAAGUCAGGGGUGAAAUCCCGGAGCUCAACUCCGGAACUGCCUUUGAUACUGGCAAUCUUGAGACUGGAAGAGGUUAGUGGAAUUCCCAGUGUAGAGGUGAAAUUCGUAGAUAUUGGGAAGAACACCAGUGGCGAAGGCGGACUAACUGGUCCAGUACUGACGCUGAGGUGCGAAAAGCGU